CAAGGCCUUUACUGACGCUAAAGCUCGAAGGUGCGGGUAUCGAACAGGAUUAGAUACCCUGGUAGUCCGCACGGUAAACGAUGGAUGCCCGCUGUUCGCGAUAUACUGUGAGCGGCCAAGAGAAAUCGUUAAGCAUCCCACCUGGGGAGUACGCCGGCAACGGUGAAACUCACAGGAAUUGACGGGGGCCCGCACAAGCGGAGGAACAUGUGGUUUAAUUCGAUGAUACGCGAGGAACCUUACCCGGGCUUGAACUGCAGAGGAAUGCGGUGGAGACACCAAAGCCCUUCGGGGCCUCUGUGGAGGUGCUGCAUGGUUGUCGUCAGCUCGUGCCGUGAGGUGUCGGCUUAAGUGCCAUAACGAGCGCAACCCUUUCCGUUAGUUGCCAUCAGGUAGAGCUGGGCACUCUGGCGGUACUGCCACCGUAAGGUGUGAGGAAGGUGGGGAUGACGUCAAAUCAGCACGGCCCUUACGUCCGGGGCUACACACGUGUUACAAUGGGGAGUACAGAGAGUCGGGUGCCGGCAACGUCACCCCAAUCAUUAAAGCUCUCCUCAGUUCGGAUUGGGGUCUGCAACCCGACCCCAUGAAGCUGGAUUCG
rnacentral:rRNA from 1 species